rnacentral:rRNA from 1 species
UGUAAGUCGAGCGAUUCAUUAGCAAUAAUGAAGAGCGGCGGAAGGGUGAGUAACACGUAGGAGACCUGCCUCAUCGCAGGGAACAACUUCGCGAAAGCGGAGCUAAUACCCAAAAAGCUCGGUGCUUCGGUGUGCCGAGAAGAGUGUGCAAGCGCGUGAUGAGAGGGUCCUGCGGCCCAUCAGCUAGUUGGCAGGGUAGUGGCCUACCAAGGCAACGACGGGUAGGGGGUCUGAGAGGACGAUCCCCCACACUGGAACUGAAACACGGUCCAGACGCCUACGGGUGGCAGCAGGGAGGAAUAUUGGGCAAUGGACGAAAGUCUGACCCAGCAACGCCGCGUGAAGGAUGAAGGCCUUCGGGUUGUAAACUUCUUUUGAGGGAGAAGAGAAAGGACGGUAUCCCUCGAAUAAGCCACGGCUAACUACGUGCCAGCAGCCGCGGUAAAACGUAGGUGGCGAGCGUUAUCCGGAUUCAUUGGGCGUAAAGAGCUUGUAGGUGGCUGGAUAAGUUGGACGUGAAAACUCCGGGCUUAACUUGGAGAGGCCGUUCAAUACUGUCCGGCUAGAGGAUGUCAGAGGGAAGUGGAAUUCCUAGUGUAGCAGUGAAAUGCGUAGAUAUUAGGAGGAACACCCGUGGCGAAGGCGGCUUCCUGGGGCACACCUGACACUGAGAAGCGAAAGCUAGGGGAGCAAACGGGAUUAGAAACCCCGGUAGUCCUAGCUGUAAACGAUGGAUGCUAGGUGUAAGCAGAUCUAACCCUGCUUGUGCCGAAGCUAACGCGUUAAGCAUCCCGCCUGGGAACUACGAGCGCAAGCUUAAAACUCAAAGGAAUUGACGGGGACCCGCACAAGCAGCGGA